rnacentral:tRNA from 1 species
GCUCCAUUAGCUCAAAGGUAAGAGCCAUCGACUUAUAAUCGAUAGAUUGUGGUUCAAGUCCACAAUGGAGCACCA